rnacentral:rRNA from 1 species
GACGAACGCUGGCGGCGUGCCUAAUACAUGCAAGUCGAGCGGAAGUUGGAGAGCUUGCUCUUCAACUUUAGCGGCGGACGGGUGAGUAACACGUGGGCAACCUGCCCUGCAGAUCGGGAUAACUCCGGGAAACCGGUGCUAAUACCGAAUAGUUUUCGCCACCUCCUGGUGGCGUACGGAAAGACGGUUUCGGCUGUCACUGCAGGAUGGGCCCGCGGCGCAUUAGCUAGUUGGUGGGGUAACGGCCCACCAAGGCAACGAUGCGUAGCCGACCGGAGAGGGUGAUCGGCCACACUGGGACUGAGACACGGCCCAGACUCCUACGGGAGGCGGCAGUAGGGAAUCUUCCGCAAUGGACGAAAGUCUGACGGAGCAACGCCGCGUGAGUGACGAAGGUUUUCGGAUCGUAAAACUCUGUUGUGAGGGAAGAACAAGUACCAACUAACUACUGGUACCUUGACGGUACCUCACCAGAAAGCCACGGCUAACUACGUGCCAGCAGCCGCAGUAAGAC